AACGCUGGCGGCGUGCCUAAUACAUGCAAGUCGAGCGAACAGACGAGGAGCUUGCUCCUCUGACGUUAGCGGCGGACGGGUGAGUAACACGUGGAUAACCUACCUAUAAGACUGGGAUAACUUCGGGAAACCGGAGCUAAUACCGGAUAAUAUAUUGAACCGCAUGGUUCAAUAGUGAAAGACGGUUUUGCUGUCACUUAUAGAUGGAUCCGCGCCGCAUUAGCUAGUUGGUAAGGUAACGGCUUACCAAGGCGACGAUGCGUAGCCGACCUGAGAGGGUGAUCGGCCACACUGGAACUGAGACACGGUCCAGACUCCUACGGGAGGCAGCAGUAGGGAAUCUUCCGCAAUGGGCGAAAGCCUGACGGAGCAACGCCGCGUGAGUGAUGAAGGUCUUCGGAUCGUAAAACUCUGUUAUUAGGGAAGAACAAAUGUGUAAGUAACUAUGCACGUCUUGACGGUACCUAAUCAGAAAGCCACGGCUAACUACGUG
rnacentral:rRNA from 1 species